CACUAGCUGGAAAAAUGAAUUUCACAGCUGGUGAGGUUAGAGACUUCUCAAGAGAAACGAAUCCUGCUGAUGUGUUGCUUCAACAAUGGAAGACAACAAGCAUUAACCACGAUGUUCCUGCUUUGAUCAAAUUGUUGAAGGAAAUGGAGAUAAACGAUCUAGUGGAUUUACUGGAAUCAAACCAAGAUGAUUAUCAGAAUACUUUUACCAGCAUUACAACAUUGCUUAAGGGUCAAAAAGAUGAGAGGAGAUGACACGCGUAAUAUCAUUUACCAUUUGAACAUUUACCAGGAAAAAUUCGAUUAGAAUGAUACUAGGAAAAUAAAAAUAGACAAAUUCUCGGUAUCGCUAGUAUCGAAUGAACAAAGAUCUUUUUCUCGUUAUUUUAAAUAGUUGCAUCUUAAAUAGUUAUGCAAUGAAGUGUGUCAUUGACACGCGUAAUAUCAUUUACCAUUUGAACAUUUACCAGGAAAAAUUCGAUUAGAAUGAUAAUAGGAAAAUAAAAAUAGACAAAUUCUCGGUAUCGCUAGUAUCGAAUGAACAAAGAUCUUUUUCUUGUUAUUUUAAAUAGUUGCAUCUUAAAUACUUAUGAAAUGAAGUGUGUCAUUGACACGCGUAAUAUCA